rnacentral:rRNA from 1 species
UACGUAGGGACCAAGCGUUGUUCGGAUUUACUGGGCGUAAAGGGCGCGUAGGCGGCGCAACAAGUCACUUGUGAAAUCUCCGGGCUUAACCCGGAGCGGUCAAGUGAUACUGUCGUGCUAGAGUGCGGAAGGGGCUACUGGAAUUCUCGGUGUAGCGGUGAAAUGCGUAGAUAUCGAGAGGAACACCAGAGGUGAAGACGGGGUUGCUGGGGCUGACACUGACGGCUGAGGCGCGAAAAGCCAGGGGGAGCAAAACGGGG